rnacentral:rRNA from 1 species
AUGGUUUAGUGAGGUCUUCGGACCGGCGGUAAGCGGGACCGUCUUCGUGUCGGUCUUGCCGAACGCUGGGAAGAUGACCAAACUUGAGCAUUUAGGGGAAGCAAAAGUCGUAACAAGGUUUCCGUAGGUGAACCUGCGGAAGGAUCAUUA